AAAAGAAAAAAGAAGAAAGAAAAAAGAUAUAAGACAAAAGAGAAAGAAGAAGCUACAAAAAAUGAAAAGGAAAUGAUCGAAAAAAAGAGAGAAUAAAAAUCGUUCGUUUCUCUAAACGUUUCCUUUCGAAUUUCCUUUCAAAAUCAAAUCGAAGGAUACGUUCUUUUCAAAAUAAAUCUCUAUUUACGCGUGUAAUGUCGAAUGAGAAUUAAUCGUGACACGUAUGUUCAUGAACGUGAAAUAAAAUUUUAAGAAGAGGAUACCUUUUGGUAAAACAGUGAACACACUUUUCACGAGUUUCACGCAAUGACAUCGUCUUUGGAUCGGACGUCAUACGUGAAUUUAAAAUGCUUACGUGUUAGAAAUACACGGAUCGAAAAUGUUUUUGGAACCAGAGAAAUUUAUUAUUAAGGAAAACUCAUGCUGGAACAUGUAGCGAUUGGAACUCUAACGAAAUGCACUAUCGUCGAUUGUUUGAAAAAGUGGAAAAAUUUUAUUAGAAUAACAUCCGUGCAUCGAAAGAUUGAGAAUCGCUAGGACUUACAAAAUAACACUUUUUUUCUGGAUUUAAAAUUGUAUCUAUCAUCGUGCCAUGCGUAUACGCAGAACUCAGAACAUGGAACAUGGAACACGGAACACAAAACACGGAACAUGGAACAUGCAACACGGAACACCGAAUACAAAACACGGAACGUGGAACACGAAACAUAGAACACGA